rnacentral:rRNA from 1 species
CCUACGGGCGGCAGCAGUGAGGAAUAUUGGUCAAUGGGCGGAAGCCUGAACCAGCCAAGUAGCGUGCAGGAUGACGGCUCUACGGGUUGUAACCUGAUUUUAUACGGGCAUAACGCGCCUUACGUGUUGGGUUUUGCAUGUACCGUAUGAAUAAGGACCGGCGAAAUCCGUGCCAGCAGCCGCGGUAAUACGGAAGGUUCGGGCGUUAUACGGAUUGAUUGGGUUUAAAGGGAGCGUAGGUGGAAUGGUAAGUCAGUUGUGAAAGUUUGCGGCUCAACCGUAAAAUUGCAGUUGAAACUGGCAGUCUUGAGUACAGGAGAGGUGGGCGGAAUUCGUGGUGUAGCGGUGAAAUGCUUAGAUAUCACGAAGAACUCCGAUGGCGAAGGCAGCUCACUGGACUGCAACUGACACUGAGGCACGAAAGUGUGGGGAUCAAACAGGAUUAGAUACCCGGGUAGUC